UGAACAUUUUUAUACAUAUUUUUCCACAGUAAAAUUUAUAACGAAAAUAGUACAGGAUUGAAGAAGAACCUGUAGGGAAUUAAAUUGAAUAAUGCAACAAGAAACUUUCACCGAAAACUUUGAACGGAACCUGAAUUCAUUUAUACCCUUUUCUCUCUUUUGACUGAUGAUUUUCUCUGACUGGAUUUUUUUUUUUCUAUUUUUUCUGUUUUCUAAUGCUUG
rnacentral:lncRNA from 1 species